rnacentral:tRNA from 1 species
GGAAGUAUAACUCAAGUGGUAGAGUAACCGACUUUUAAUCGGUAGGCUACAGGUUCGAGUCCUGUUACUUCCACCA